rnacentral:lncRNA from 1 species
AGUAAAUAUUUGGUGAAUAUGUCCUUAUCAUUCAACACAAGCUCUCUACUGUGGUUUUAAAACACUCUGCCAUUUCUUUCAUCUUAAAACUAGCCAGGGGAGAGGAAGAAGUUGGAAGUGAUCACUAGAAAUUGAACAUCAUUUUUUGAAAAAUGUCAAGCACUUGUUUUGAGUGAGACUCUGACUGGACAGAUAAGGGAAGCAAACAACCUGGCAGUGGCAUCCUUAAGUGAUGAUUUCAGUGUUCAUAAUGCCCUAGCUAAUCUAUUUCUUGUGGCCUCUGUAUUCUCAAAUCAAGAAUAUUCCUUGAAGAACUUAUCGCAGAGUUAACAUGAUAAACAGCAGGCACUGAAUUGAGAAUACAUCAGGGAGCCUGAAAUGACUCCAGGUUAACUAUCAAAGCGAGGAAUCCUCAUUAAAACUGUAACUUCCUUCCUCUAAUUCAAGAUCUUGGGGUAUUAACUGAAGACUUGGUGAAUGUGUGCACAACAGCAAAGACAAAUCAACCAAGAAAGGGACAAAGAGAUCUGGGGCUAAGGGAAAAGAUGGAUAAAGGGUCAGAGAAAGAUGAACAUUGGCCUUAAAGAUAAAGCAGUCACAUUGAAGAAGAAGUAAUUAUUCCACACAUAGCAGACUAUGCUGAUCGUUGUCCCAAUUGCCUCUUCCUUCUUUGUUAUUGUUCAUGAAGCUCCGAUUUUUCCAGACAUAUUCCUUGAAGGUAGAAUCACUGUCAGCAGAGUCCUUGCCAGGAACAACUUUCCAGUGAAGGAGACAAUGGAAAUUUGGACAACAUUUUGAAAACCACUAACAGUAACAACGUGUUAAUAAUAAUUAAAACAUUAAGAUGAAGAAGACAAAGGAGAAAUAUGAAGGGAUUGCUAACUGCUGGUGUUCUGCAUUUGUUUUCUUAUUUAAUCCUCAUCAUAACCUUAUGAGGAAAAGAGAGAAAUUGCUGGCAGAAAAUAAUGAAAACACAAGGACUUGUGCUAUGUGCUGAAAGAAUUGCUCCUGAAACGAUAAAGGUGAAAUGCAGAUAAAGACAAUCAAGAUACAGCCUUUUUUAAAAAAUUAUUUC